CUCGAGUUGAUCUGAAAAGAGAAUCUGCUCAAGGAGAAAACAACAUGUGACUGGAGUGAUUUGCACCUGGAUGCCUAGACUCGCCAUCUGCUGAAAGACUGCUCAGAAAGCCCUCCCAUGCAUUCCCCUGCUGCAUACCAGCCCACUCUGCCUGCAGCUGCUGUCUGCAGGACUUCAUAUCUAUGCCACACUGUGUAAAAGCUGUGCUUCAAGAAAUCACAAAAACGUUUUCCUGCACCUACUACACAGCCUGAGUGCGGCAUAAGUUGACCUUGCUUGCUAAGAAAUGGGGCAAGAAAUGCUUUUUUGUGUGUGUCAUGUCUGUUUGUUUUUCAAUUAAGAGAGGAAAGCAUUAGGCAGAUGGAAUGUACAUGUGAGGAUGAGGAGACAGAAAACAAGUAGCCCUUUCCAUCAAGAUAGAGGGUUUUCUGGGGUUGCUGGCUGUUGAAUGUCACUCCUGAUUUCUCUUUCCAAGGCACUGUACCACCAGCCUACUGAGAUUGUGUGGGAGCUUUCAUGGGGGUUGUAUUUCACUG
rnacentral:lncRNA from 1 species